GUUUUGGAUUUGACAUUGACUACAUCAAGAGGAGACUUGCUACCAAGUCAGCACUACGUGUCAGAAAAGUUGCAUUGCAGGAAAACAAGGUCCUUUGAAGAUCGGUGUAAGGAAAAGAAAGGUCCUGUUUUCCAUCACAUCUUUACAAAUACUACAGUGUUUGGUGAGAAACCAAGAUGCCAAGGAAGAAAGGUUUUCUGUAUGUGUCACACGCCCAAGACCAGUAAAAGAAAGAGCAGUGAUGAGGAUUCUGCUUGUGCAACUCCCAAGACCAUCUGUUGUUGUUGGCACAAAGUUAGAAUGCAUUCAGUGAUCACUGAUAGGAAUGAAUCUGUAGUGUGUAGCGUUGCAGCAGCAAUUAAACACAAGAUUCUUCCUGUGUGUGAAUGGCAAGACGGUGAUGUGGAUGACAUACGAGCCGAAGGAAAAGCAUUGCUCCAGUAUUUAGCAAAGGUAAAACAGUCCAGCCAUGCUAAACUGAAUUUGUGUCGGAUGAUUGAGCAACACAAUGUGUUUGACAGCCAAUGGAGUAUAACUGUUGGUGUGCUGAUGUACAGAGAGUAUAUAGAGGCACCAGCAUCUACAAGUGGUGUGAUAGGGAUACCAUGCAAAUAUGAACGUAUUGCUGCGGAUGGCAACUGUUUUUUUUAAAGCUAUCUCUCAUGCUGUAAGUAGUGUACAAAAAAAACACUUAAAAAUUAGACACGCAAUUGUUAAACACCUGAAAAAUAAUGCUACACAUUAUAGAAACACUUUAAGACGUGACUACUCAUUUGCUGUAGAGUACUUAAGCAUGUCAAAGAUGCAAUACAUACACAAAAAAAAAUAGCAUACAACUGCAAAAUAAUUUGGGCUUUGUAGUUAGAAGAACACGUACGCAACCUGCAGUUGAGCGGUAUACCCGUUUCUCUGUAACCAAAGAUCCUGAACAAUAUUAUAAAAAUAUUUUGCAACUCUUUCUUCCAUAUCAAAACAAUGCACAGUUAAAACCACCAACCUGCCAGUCUUAUGAAGACUUUUACAUGUCAGGGCAUGUAACUUGUUAUAAUGGAACAAGGGCGUUGGUAAAAGAUGUUGUUGACAUGAAUCGCAGUAGAUUUGAACAUGAUGCUGAAGCACUAGAUACUGCACAAGACUCCAUUGACCAUCAUGGUGGAGUAGAAGAGGCAUGGUGUGAGCUGUGUCCAGAACAGGAGUUAGAACAUCUGCAAUGCAAACAAGAACGCAAAGAAGCCAGAGGAAGAACACACAGAUAUAAUCCCAGAUUUGAGCCUUUGUCAUUAAGAAGUUGACCAUUUAGAAAAGACAAAUAACUUGUUGAGGAGAAAUGAAGGGUUGCAAUUACUCCAUUCCUUAAAUGACACUCAGAUGUCAGUGUUUUUUUUUUUUUAUCAAAUUAGAAAGUGGUGUUUACAGAAGAUUCAGGGGACAAAUCCACAACCACUCCAUGUUUUUAUCACAGGUGGUGCAGGUACAGGAAAGAGACAUUUAAUUAGGGCUAUACAGUAUGAAGCUACGAGGUUACUAUUAACUGUGUGUUAUCAUCCAGAUGACAUUUAUGUGCUGUUAACAGCUCCUACAGGUAUAGCAGCAUACAAUCUCCAAGCUUCCACCACACACAAUACUUUCAAUAUUGGCAUUGAUGUAAAAUUAUCAUACACACCACUGGGUGAGGAAAAGAUAAAUAGUUUGUGCAGUAAAUACUCUCAUCUGCAGCUUCUCCUCAUUAAUUAAAUAUCCAUGGUUGACCAUAAACUGAUGGCAUAUAUUCAUGGCAGAUUAAGGCAGAUCAAACAAUUUGGUGACUUUUCCCCAUUUGGUAAUGUCAGUGUGGUUGCUGUUGGUCAUUUCGUUCAACUGCCUCCUGUCAAAGGCAAACCAUUGUAUGUUGAGGAUGUAGGUGUCAAUCUAUGGUCUAACCUUUUUGAAGUGGUUCAAUUGAAUACAAUUGUUAGGCAGAAAGAUCAUGUGUUUGCACAGUUAUUGAAUAGAAUAAGGUCACGCUGAAAAGGAACACUACUGUUGGAAAGUGACUUGCAAUUAUUAAAGAGUUGCGAAACAGGUGAAGAAAGUUCAUGUCUUUACACUUUUCCCACCAAUGUUCAAGUUAGUGCUCAUAAUCUUGAGCAAUUAUUUAAAUCAUGUCCAGAUUAUGUUGAAAUUAAUGCUCAAGAUUUUGGACAUAAUAAGAGGACAGGCAAACUUGAGUUAAUGGUUUGACAUCACAAUAAAGUGUAUAAUACAUCUUUACCUGAAAGACUGCUACUUGGGGUAAAUGCACAUGUGAUGUUAACUAAGAAUGUGGAUGUGAUGGAUGGGCUUGUAAAUGGGGUA